GAUUAAAUUAUAUUUUGGGUAAAUAGUCAUUUUCAUCCCUGAAUGUGUAGAGCGCUAACAAAUUCGUCCUUAAAUGUGUCACAUAGGCUUUUUCAUUAACGGUAACAAAUGGACAGAUUUGUCGCAUUUUUUUCACUUUUAGAGACUAAAAUUUGAAUUUUUAUCUUUCGGAGACGAAUUUAUUAGUGCUCUGCACAUUCAAGGACAAAAAUGAUUAUUUACCCUUUAAAAUAAGUUUGGCAU
rnacentral:pre_miRNA from 1 species